AUGCUUGCUUUUCCUCAAGAUUACCAGACGCAGUAUUGGGUGGAGAAAGCAGUUUCUCACUUCAGAAAGUUAUUGAGUUGGUUUAGUCCCCGUGAACCUCUGUCUGGUGUGCUUGUUCAAGUUUGGGUUAUGAGUCCGUCAGUGAUUCCAAAGGAUUUUGUGAUGCGUCAGAUGGGGGGACAUAGGCGUUCUUGGACUGUACCUGUUUUUAUCCUUAGGUCUGACGGGGCAAAUGUGUUUGAGCAUGAUGUUCCUCUUGCUGGUGAAGAUCCCCUGCCUCCUAAUGGUGAUGCACACCCUUUAUUUGGUCCACAUACUACUGCUGAACAAGCCUUCCAAGUCAGAUUGCAGGCUUGA
rnacentral:rRNA from 1 species